GAGUUUGAUCAUGGCUCAGAAUCAACGCUGGCGGCGUGCCUAACACAUGCAAGUCGAACGAGAAAGGGACUUCGGUCCUGAGUAUAGUGGCGCACGGGUGAGUAACACGUGAAUAAUCUACCUCCGAGUGGGGAAUAACUGAGAGAAAUCUUAGCUAAUACCGCAUAGCACUUACGAGUCAAAGCAGCAAUGCGCUUGGAGAGGAGUUCGCGGCAGAUUAGUUAGUUGGCGGGGUAAUGGCCCACCAAGACGAUGAUCUGUAUCCGGCCUGAGAGGGCGCACGGACACACUGGAACUGAAACACGGUCCAGACUCCUACGGGAGGCAGCAGUGGGGAAUUUUGCGCAAUGGGGGAAACCCUGACGCAGCAACGCCGCGUGGAGGAUGAAGUAUCUUGGUACGUAAACUCCUUUCGAUGGGGAAGAUAAUGACGGUACCCAUAGAAGAAGCCCCGGCUAACUUCGUGCCAGCAGCCGCGGUAAUACG
rnacentral:rRNA from 1 species